AGACUUACCCUCAGGGGAGAUACCAUGAUCAGUUAGGUGUUUUCCCAAGGUGAAGCUCACCUAUUGCAUUCUGGAUAUGCCAACCUUGUGCCUUUCCAGAUGUAGGCAACUCAGUUGCACAGCUUGUGGCAAAGGGAGGUGGGAGAAGUGGAAAGAAGUUUCUUU